rnacentral:lncRNA from 1 species
UUCUGAUAAUAUUACCAAGGGGCAACAUGUAUAUUGAAAAUAGCAGAGAGACCGACCUAAGACAGAUCCUUGUGGCACUCCAUAUUUUACUGGUGAUAAUUGAGAUGACUCCCCAUUUAAAUGAACAAAAUGGUAGCGAUCGGACAGGUAGGAUCUAAACCAUCUUAAAGCCUGCCCUUGAAUACCUGUAUAGUUUUGUAAUCUAUCUAUGAGUAUGUCAUGAUCUAUAGUGUCGAACGCAGCACUAAGAUCAAGUAAAACUAGUAAUGAGAUGCAGCCUUGGUCUGACGCAAGAAGCAAGUCAUUUGUAAUUUUAACAAGUGCAGUUUCUGUGCUAUGGUGGGGUUUAGUUCACACUGGCCUGAUGGUGGAAAAUCAGCUGUUGUGUCCUCACUAACAUGAAGAUCACUGUUCUCUCAUGUUUCUGUCUCUCAGGUUUAUAUACCAGGUUGUGAUGGGAGGCAACAUUUCCCCCAAUGAGCAUGGGCUUGAGAAAGGAGGCCAGGGAGGAGCUGGAGAGGAGGAGACGCUGUCCUCUCAGAUUUGGAUAUUGCCACGCUUUUUGGAAAUUGCCACGCUGGGGGAGAAUUGGGGAAACUGCC